CCUACGGGUGGCAGCAGUGAGGAAUAUUGGUCAAUGGGCGCGAGCCUGAACCAGCCAAGUAGCGUGACGGAUGACUGCCCUACUGGUUGUCACCUUCUUUUAUCAAGUAAUCAAGUGAGGCACGUGUGCCUUUUUGUAUGUACUUUAUGCAUAAGUAUCGGCUCACUCCGUGCCAGCAGCCGCGUUCAUCCGGAGGAGCCGAGCGUUAUCCGGAUUUAUUGGGUUUAAAGGGAGCGUAGAUGGGUUGUUAAGUCAGUUGUGAACGUUUGCGGCUCAACCGUAAAAUUGCAAUUGAUACUGGCAGUCUUGAGUACAGUUGAGGUAGGCGGAAUGCGUGGUGUAGCGGUGAAAUGCUUAGAUAUCACGAAGAACUCCGAUUGCGAAGGCAGCUUACUAAACUGCCACUGACAUUGAUGCUCGAAAGUGUGGGUAUCAAACAGGAUUAGAUACCCGAGGAGUC
rnacentral:rRNA from 1 species